CAGUAGCCACGGUAAUACAGAGGGUGCAAGCGUUAAUCGGAAUUACUGGGCGUAAAGCGCGCGUAGGUGGUUUGUUAAGUUGGAUGUGAAAGCCCCGGGCUCAACCUGGGAACUGAAUCCAAAACUGGCAAGCUAGAGUACGGUAGAGGGUGGUGGAAUUUCCUGUGUAGCGGUGAAAUGCGUAGAUAUAGGAAGGAACACCAGUGGCGAAGGCGACCACCUGGACUGAUACUGACACUGAGGUGCGAAAGCGUGGGGAGCAAACAGGAUUAGAUACCCCAGUAGUCCCUGUCUCUUAUAA
rnacentral:rRNA from 1 species